rnacentral:rRNA from 1 species
UACGAGGGGGGCAAGCGUUGUUCGGAAUUACUGGGCGUAAAGCGUGUGUAGGCGGCUACGUAAGUCGGAUGUGAAAGCCCCAGGCUCAACCUGGGAAGUGCACUCGAUACUGCGUAGCUUGAGUAUCGGAGAGGUUGGUGGAAUUCUCGGUGUAGAGGUGAAAUUCGUAGAUAUCGAGAGGAACACCGGUGGCGAAGGCGGCCAACUGGACGAAUACUGACGCUGAGACACGAAAGCGUGGGGAGCAAACAGG